GGUGUGUUCGACAUCGGCUGCGGCUGGAUGCAACCGAUCGGCGAGAGUAGCCGCGUGCAGGUGGGGAGGAGCUGAAAACGGAGAUAUGAAGCCGGACACGUUGUUGCUCCCGUAGUUUGCUGCAAUUACGUCAGUCAUGGCAGAUCACGUGGCGUUUGCUUACUUGAUCGCAGAUGAGCUGGAAGCAAUAGAAAAUCCAUUAUUUUUGCAAUACAUUGAGCACGAUGAGCAACGAAGAAUGGUUCCAAAAAUAGCCAAUUUUGUGGAGGAUGUUGUCCCUCUCUACAGUCUCUCAGAAUUUAGAAGUCAUUUCAGGCUUUCCAGAGAACAAGUGGAGGAUGUCAUCACUACCCUUGGUCCUGUGUAUAUGAAUUUACAACAGACCAAACUGCCACUCACGAACAGUGUUCUUGCCUGCCUUUGGACAUUGGUGAAUCAGGAGUCAUAUCGUGGGGUGGCAGAUAGAUUUAACAUGUCAAAAUCCACUCUUGCCAAGCAUCUCCAUGAGUUUUGUUACAAUAUUAACACAUACAUGGCCCACCACAUAUCCUGGCCCAGAGGUCAAAGGCUGGAGAUGUCAAAGUUAGGCUUUGACACAGCAGGUUUCCCCAACACUGUAUGUGCGGUAGAUGGGUGUCACAUUCCUAUAAUGAGACCCCACUGUGAUAAUCCCCUAGCAUACAUGAAUAGGAAACAGUUUUAUUCUGUAAAUUUAACUGGGUUUUGUGACAGUCAGCGGCGCUUCUGUCACAUUAGUGUGGGUCACCCUGGGAGUUGGCAUGAUGCCAGAGCAUUUCGCUUCACAGAAGUUUGUCGUGUUCUUGAAGAUCCUCAUUCACUUGUUCCACAGGGAAUGCACAUAAUUGGGGAUUCUGCCUACCCUUUGUUGCCUCAACUUAUGAGGCCUUAUAGAGACAAUGGCCACUUGUCUGCUAGGCAAAGAUAUUUUAACAGAAAGCUCAAUGCAGCUCGCGUGGUCAUUGAGCAUGCGUUUGGCAUUCUAAAAUCUAAGUUUAGGAGGCUCCAUUACCUGCAAAUGAGAAGCAUUUCUAAUAUCAGCUCAGCAGUCUCAGCCUGCUGCAUUUUGCAUAAUCUUUGUUUAGAGCCCAGUGAUCAAGUUGUUGUGGUAGGUGAUGGUGUUGAUGAUGAACCAUACCCCCAGCAACCCCACAACACUAAUGCAUGUCAUUAUAGAGACCAGAUUUGUGGCCAGAUCUAACUUGUGUGUAUACUUAACAUACAAAACAAAAGAUGAAAAGUAAAGAUUUGAAUGUUCAGAAAUAUUCAACAAAUGAGAAAACAAACAGAUUUUGUUGAAAUAAAGAAAUUUGUUUUAUUGAACAAAAUUAGUUUGUCAUUAGAAAUGUUUUUUUUUUUUGGGGGGGGGGGGGGGGACAAGGGACAUUUUGGGGAAAGGUGUAAAUCAAAAGAGUUAACAUCUAUAGAUUAUAAUUUUAUUGGGGUUCAUGUGGGUUCUGUAAUAGAUGCAUAAUUUGCGCUUGUCUUUUCCCCAUUUUUUUUAGCUCCUCCACAAUUGUUCCCAAGCUGGUCACCAUCUUUUUUUCAAAGGACCUUCUCCGCCUCUCCUUAAGUCGCCGCCAUCUCUCCAGAUCUGGCCUUACCAGGGACUCAAGCACAGCGGUCCUUCUCUCUGCAUGCUCUUCAUAAGAGUCCAGGAAUCGUAAGGGUUGUGGUCGCCUUUGCCGCCUUGUGAUGUUUGCAUUUUGUAUGGUUUCAGUUCCUGGCUGUUCAUCCAUACUAGCACCUACCAGCUGGUCUUGAAGAGAAGACGUUGUGGGCCUGCUUGUGGAAGAGGUCUCUUCCAAACCCAGAGGUGUGGAGUGAAUGGUGCCAGGUGGUGCAGUACCGAUCCCCGAUGACCCAAAUAACUCAUCCAUUAGCUGGUGGGGGUGGAUGUAAAAUGACCAAUGUUUCAGUCAUGUAACACAGGACAAUGUUAUUUCAGAAACAAAGUAAAUCAGUCUUCAACUUACUGUAUAGUACUCCCAGGUGAUCUUCCCUUCCCCAGUGGCACGACGCCGGUCUUUCACUCUCUUAUAAGUAGUUAACAUGUUUGCUAGUUUUUUUCGAAUUUUCUCACUUGACAAGUUGUAGCCCUUUAGUGAAAAUAAGUUUUGUAUUUUUUUAUAGAAUGCCAUUUUGUUCCGAAAAUAAAGGUGCUGAUGAGUUUUUGUAAGGUCCAGUAGAAAUAGUGUCAUUGUAUGUGUUAUGUCUGUAAAAUGGAGGGGAUAAGGAGAGAAAUAGAUCAACAAAGAAAAUUAUGUAAUUUAACAACAGUAUUGCCAUUUAUCUUCCUUACAGUAUUUGAUGCAAUACCUUGAGACUCGUGCCUGUCUGACUGGAAGGAAGGGGAUGAAGGUUGAAUGGAUGCUGAAGGGUUUCCACACGCUGCACCAGAUUGCAGAGUGGAAGGUGGUGGGUCCUUGACAGUGGAGCUGAUACUUUCUCCAUGACAGAGGAAAGGAACAUUUGAUCUGGGGGAAUAAGUGAUAAAUAAAAAACUUGCACAAAUCA